CCUACGGGAGGCAGCAGUGAGGAAUAUUGGUCAAUGGGCGCGAGCCUGAACCAGCCAAGUAGCGUGAAGGAUGACUGCCCUACGGGUUGUAAACUUCUUUUAUGAGGGAAUAAAGUGAGGCACGUGUGCCUUUUUGUAUGUACUUUAUGAAUAAGGAUCGGCUAACUCCGUGCCAGCAGCCGCGGUAAUACGGAGGGUCCGAGCGUUAUCCGGAUUUAUUGGGUUUAAAGGGAGCGUAGAUGGGUGGUUAAGUCAGUUGUGAAAGUUUGCGGCUCAACCGUAAAAUUGCAAUUGGUACUGGCGGGCUUGAGUACAGUGGAGGUAGGCGGAAUUCGGGGUGUAGCGGUGAAAUGCUUAGAUAUCGCGCAGAACUCCGAUUGCGAAGGCAGCAUACCGGCGGCGAUCUGACGCUGAGGCACGAAGGCGUGGGUAUCGAACAGGAUUAGAUACCCUUGUAGUC
rnacentral:rRNA from 1 species